GGCCAGGUAGCUCAGUCGGUACGAGCGUCCGCCUGAAAAGCGGAAGGUCGGCGGUUCGAUCCCGCCCCUGGCCACA
rnacentral:tRNA from 1 species